GAUGAACGCUGACAGAAUGCUUAACACAUGCAAGUCAACCUGUGGCGGAUGUGUGAGUAACGCGUAAAGAACUUGCAUCACAGUUUGGGACAACAUGUGGAAACGAAUGCUCAUACCUGAUACCGUGAGAGAGCUUUGCGUCCCAUUAGCUGGUCGGAGAGGUAACGGCUCACCAAGGCGAUGAUGGGUAGCCGGCCUGUGAGGGUGAUCGGCCACAAGGGGACUGGGGAACGGCCCUUGCGCCUAGGGGGAGAAGCAAGUGGGAGUGUGUGUGAAUGGGCAAAAGUCUGAUACAGCAAUUCUGUGUGCGCGAUGAAGUUUUCGGAGUGAAGAGUGCUUUCAAUGGGGGAGCGGUACCAUCAGAAGAAGUGACGGCUAAAUACGUGCCAGCCGCCGCGGUAAUAC
rnacentral:rRNA from 1 species